GUAGGUGAACCUGCGGAAGGAUCAUUCAUAAUAAAGUGUUUUAUGGCACUUUUUAAAAAUCCAUAUCCACCUUGUGUGCAAUGUUAGAUCUCGUCAAUCUUGGCGAGAUUUUUAUACAUCAACUCAUUCUUUAACUAAUUUGUCUGAAAAAUAUUAUGGAUACUUAAUUCAAAAUACAACUUUCAACAACGGAUCUCUUGGCUCUC
rnacentral:misc_RNA from 1 species